CGCCUUGCCAGCAGCCGCGGUGAUACGGAGGGUGCAAGCGUUAAUCGGAAUAACUGGGCGUAAAGGGCAUGCAGGCGGUUCAUCAAGUAGGAUGUGAAAUUCCCGGGCUCAACCUGGGAACAGCAUACUAAACUGGUGGACUAGAGUAUUGCAGGGGGAGACGGAAUUCCAGGUGUAGCGGUGGAAUGCGUAGAUAUCUGGAAGAACACCAAAGGCGAAGGCAGUCUCCUGGGCAAAUACUGACGCUCAUAUGCGAAAGCGUGGGUAGCAAACAGGAUUAGAUACCCUGGUAGUCCACGCCGUAAACGAUGUCAAUUAGGAGCUUGGGGGUUCCGCAGCUAACGCAAUAAAUUGACCGCCUGGGGAGUACGGCCGCAAGGUUAAAACUCAAAUGAAUUGACGGGGGCCCGCACAAGCGGUGGAGCAUGUGGUUUAAUUCGACGCAACGCGAAGAACCUUACCUGAUCUUGACAUCCAGGUGCUGCAUGGCUGUCGUCAGCUCGUGUCGUGAGAUGUUGGGUUAAGUCCCGCAACGAGCGCAACCCUUGUCCUUUGUUGCAACUCAAAGGAGACUGCCAGUGACAAACUGGA
rnacentral:rRNA from 1 species